UACAGAGGUCUCAAGCGUUGUUCGGAUUCAUUGGGCGUAAAGGGUGCGUAGGCGGCGAAGCAAGUCUGAUGUGAAAUCCCGGGGCUCAACCCCGGAACUGCAUUGGAUACUGCUUUGCUAGAGUACUGGAGGGGAGACUGGAAUUUACGGUGUAGCAGUGAAAUGCGUAGAUAUCGUAAGGAAGACCAGUGGCGAAGGCGAGUCUCUGGACAGUUACUGACGCUGAGGCACGAAGGCCAGGGGAGCAAACGGG
rnacentral:rRNA from 1 species